AUCUCUACGACGAUGGAAAACGUUGAAAGCAGUGGCCAACGUUUGGACUGUCAAUUUUCGAGGUUUCGAAUCUUCAGGUCGUAUUUUCAUGUCCGAUUUAAAGCCAACUGGAGGCAUUAAGUACUGAGCUUCACAAUACCGUAGGAUGUGUGCAAUUGAGGCGAACAAUGCAGAAGACUGUCGAUGGUAGGUCCGAUACAUCAAGUACACAUUACGAUUUGAAGCUGCAGAGGAAAAGGGAGGUGAAAAGAAGAAACCGAAGAUUGUUGACUUUCGCCGUUGCGGCCGAUUGAAAUGAUCGGAGCUCGUUAAGACGCUUCCACUUUAGACGAUAGCACGUUGCCGCCUCUGGUGAGGAAACGAGGGUUCGACAUGGGAAGCAAUGCUUGUCAGGAUGGUUCUAUGGGUUUGUGACUAUAAUCUCGAAAGCAGCAGUCAAUCGUGAAUCCAGUCGAAACCAAUUGGCACGCGGUCGAAUUCUCAUUGACUUAUCAGCUUCAGAGAGCCUCUUCAGAGAGAUCGCAGAAAAAGAUCAUUGAGUAUUCGACACAAUAUUACGUCCUUAAAGCGCGUCGGUUGAACUUACCAUUUUUUUAGAUGAAAAUUCGCAGCACUCUACCGACAAUUGGCAUGAGAUUGUCGUCAAUUGGCAUCGAUUUUGAAUUGCGUUACAUUAAAGCCCAUAAACUUUCAGUUCCCAUAUUACAGAUCAGUAAUCACUGAAAAACACAUCGAAGAAUCACAGUUUUCGAAAUUUUACAUGCUUCCAACAGAAACUCAGUUGCAAUGUAGCCCGUUGGAUUCUGCAGUAUUCUUCGGUCGACGAACCAAAGUAAUGCAACAGUUUGAAAAAUCGGUUCCAAGCAGUGCUAUCGGAGUCACUCGCGUGUUACACACAAUAGGAAAAAACCGGUUUGAGAGCGAUGAAAUAUGCUCAAGAGCAAAAAGUUCAAAUAAAAGCCCGGAAGAGUACACGCGGUAUUGUAGAAACGGAAUUUUUUUAUGUUCUCGAUGUAUAAGGAACAAGGAAUUUUCCCCUUAUUAGAGUAGAAUGUAUUACAGGGCAUCUCUUGGGUAGGCUCUUCCGACGUUUGCCAACGAGGGCAAAAACGCUAUCUCGCGGGUGCUCGAACUCCACAGGUGGCCACGGGCUCAAUUACCGGUCGUUCGAGUGGAGAGUACACCGUGCAGCAGUGUAAAAUUCAAACACAGGCUCGAAGAUAAUGCAUGCACUAUUAGAUGCUCGAUGAAUAUUUAACGCGUUGAAUAAAAUCGAUUGGGAAAUUUUUGUAGUUUUACAAUGAUUUCGAGUAUCCUGAGUCAAGUUAUUUGUUCCCUUUUUCCAGUAAAUAUCGUACUUUUUUAUCGAGCAUGGAGAGCACGAUCGUCAAGGUUUUUUCAAAUCAAAGAUCAUUCAAACUUUUCAUACUCCUAAUGCAAGGAAAAUCAAGAUUGAAAGGCAAACUUUUGCAGCUUUUUCUUUCCUUACCUAUUAAAAAUGUCAAAUUUAUUCAUUCCUGUAGUUUAUUCGGAAAGUAUUUCUAACGAUGAAGAUGAAAUAAAAUUGAGUCAUUCCGUUUCAAGCAUGUUUACAAAGAAUUUUUCUUCCCUCCAUCAAACAUUUUAACACCGUCAAUUCUUUUUUCAU
rnacentral:lncRNA from 1 species